rnacentral:rRNA from 1 species
CAGCAGCCGCGGGAAUACGAAGGGGGCUAGCGUUGUUCGGAUUUACUGGGCGUAAAGGGCGCGUAGGCGGACUGAUAAGUCAGGGGUGAAAUCCCAAGGCUCAACCUUGGAACUGCCUUUGAUACUGUUUGUCUUGAGUUCGAGAGAGGUAAGUGGAACUGCGAGCGUAGAGGUGAAAUUCGUAGAUAUUCGCAAGAACACCAGUGGCGAAGGCGGCUUACUGGCUCGAAACUGACGCUGAGGCGCGAAAGCGUGGGGAGCAAACAGGAUUAGAGACCCCAGUAGUCCCUGUCUCUUAUAC